rnacentral:piRNA from 1 species
AAAAAAGGAGAGAAGGACAUUCCUGG